UUAAACAUUUUAUUGUUAAAACUUAAAAUUCACUGGGACAAACAUACCCACAACUCCCUCUCAUUACAUAAACCACGACUCCACGAGCUGUCUUAAAAGCCGGCUCAACAUAUUUUUAUUACCAAAAAGACCCCGUUUAGAAAGCUCGACAUCUUCACAUCCGAGUAUAACGAACUAUGGGUAUAAUCGUCAUUUAAUUUAACCCAAUUCCAUUGCCGAUCAAAACACGGGCGCUUUCGAACUCCAUGGCCAUGUACGAACUUUCCAAUUUUGCUUUCGAGCUUCGAAUCAAUUACGUAAGCCAAAUUCGUAUUAGUAAUUUAAAGAAUUAAUUAUCUUGCUAAAACUUACAGCCUCCGCCAUCACCUCUUCACAGGAUUCAUCAAAGUUUGGAAUGAAUUGAAGUAAGGAAGGUGAAGUUCAAGACAAUCAUAUUUAUCUUUGUCAUGAUCAAAAAAAGGGAGAAACAGAAGAGCAAUCUGCAAUGUCCAUUAGGAAAUAAUUAAAAUGGGAAUGCUGCUCUUACCGACUGCUAUGUGUGAGACGUCUCUGCCAGCUGAAAUCACAACAAGUUGUCCAUUGUCCUUAGGAGUUUAAUCCAGCCUUUAUGUACUGUUGUACUACAAUUUUGUCAUGCACCGCUGUAUUUAUUGGCCUUGUGAAAUUGUGAAUUUGCAAAAUCUGAUGCUAUGGCAACUUCUAGCAAGUUUGAUCUGUCUUCUGAUAGCCCAGAUAGGCCACUGUUCACCAGUGGGCAGCGUGGAGCCCACUUAGCUGCUCAAUUAGACAGAUCAGGUAGUUUUCGUGAGACCGUGGAGAAUCAAAUUUUAUCUUCUCUGCCAAGUAUGUUGAGGAGCAGUUCUGUAGUAGCCCAAGGAGAUUUAUCCAACUUCUUCCAAUGCCUGCGUUUUGAUCCCAAGGUGGUUGCUACCGAUCAUAAGUUUAGUCGUCAAGCAGAAUUUAAACGGCACAUUAAUGUUGCUCUUGGCAUUUCUGCUGAUGAAUCUCCUGCUGUGUUGUCAAAAGGCAAACUGCUGCCUUCUCCCAUACCUGAGGAAAUCAAACGAGUUAAGGCUGGUCUACGUGAUUGCUCUGUCAAAGCAAGGGAGCGAAGGAAAACUUUCAAUGAAGCCUUAUCAGUAUUCAACAAGUUUUUCCCAAGCAUACCAUCCAAGAAGAGAUCACGGUCAGAAAGCUUUUCUGGUGACCGACCUAAUGCCUUGUUAUCUAGUGAUCGGUCAGUCUUAGGGCCAACAAUUGGUAAGAUGGGAAUGCAUAAUCAUUCCAUUGCUGGAGGUUUUGAAUUUGAACAGCAGAAACCAGAAGAAAGGCCUAAAAGUGCUGUUCCAAAUAAGCGCACUCGAACUUCUCUGGUGGAUGUGAGGGUUUGUCUCUUUGAUAUCUUCCAUCUCUAUGCAUUUUUGGUCCUGAUGGAUAUGCGGAAUAAUGCUCCAGUCAGGCAGCCUGGUAAUGCAGAUAGGGAUAGAGAAAUGCUCAGGGUUUCAAAUAGUGGUGGAGUUCAGGUUGAAGAUCGAACUUUAUCGGGUGGUGUUGACGGAUGGGAAAAGGCAAAGAUGAAGAAAAAGCGUUCUGUAAUAAAACCUGAUGUAUCUCCAAGUAUGGCAUCAACUAAACCCAUUGAAGGGUACCGGGAACCUAAACAGGGAAUACAGCAAAGGGCUGUUACUGAUGCUCGAUCAAGGUUAAUUAAUGACUCCCAUGGGUUCAGGUCAGGAAUUGCUAAUGGAUCUGUUGGAGUUGGAAAAUCAGAAGGUAUCUCGCAGCCAACAGGCUUGGGUCCGCGAUCAUCUGUUCCUAGGACCGAUUUGGACAACAGUUCCCUUCUCAAUGAUAGGAGAGAUCGUCCUGCUGCUUCCGAUAAAGAGCGAGUCAAUCUCAGAGCUGUUAACAAGAUGAGUGUUCGUGAUGAAUAUAAUUCAGCUAGUCCUACUUCAAGCACAAAAAUGAAUGCAUCUAUUCGCGGUCCACGAUCAGGGCCUGGAGUUGCUCCAAAAUUGUCACCAGUUGUUCAUAGAGCAACGGCAUCAAAUGACUGGGAGCUUUCUCACUGUGCAAAUAAACCACCUACUGCUGGUGGAGCUAAUAAUCGUAAACGCACAACAUCAGCUCGGUCUUCAUCACCACCUGUUGCCCACUGGGCCAGCCAGAGACCACAGAAGAGCUCCCGUACUGCAAGACGAACAAAUCUUGUUCCUAUUGUUUCAAGUAAUGAUGAAAGUCCAUCACUGGAUACUGUGUCUGAUAUGGCAGGUAACGAAAGUGGGUCAGGGUUUGCUAGACGCUUGUCUAGCUGCUCUCCCCAACAAGUUAAACUAAAAGGUGAUGCCUUAUUUUCGGCUGCUCUUUCUGAGAGUGAGGAGUCUGGGGCUGCUGAAAUUAAAUCUAAAGAGAAGGUGAAAAAGUCUGAUGAAAUAGAUGAGAAAGCUGGACAGAAUGUUCAAAAGGUAUCCACUUUUGUCCUGGCAUCAAGAAAGAAUAAACUGAUGACUGGAGAAGACAUUGGAGAUGGCAUACGUCGACAAGGGAGGACUGGCCGGGGUAUUACUUCUACAAGGUCUCUUAUGCCAAUGACAGUUGAGAAGCUUGGCAAUGUGACAGGAAAACAGCUCAGAAGUGCCAGGCUUGGCUUGGAUAAGUCUGAAAGCAAGUCUGGUCGUCCUCCAACUAGGAAACUCACUGACCGCAAGGCCUAUGCGCGCCAGAAGCAUGCAGCAAUCAAUGCAGCUGCAGAUCUUCUUGUUGGUUCAGAGGAUGGACAUGAAGAGUUGGUAGCUGCUGUAAACACUCUUAUUAGUUCUGCCCAUGCCUUUCCCAACUCCUUUUGGAGAGAGAUGGAGUCUUUUCUUGGUUUCAUAACUGAUGCAGAUAUUGCCUAUUUGAAGCAGCAGGGAAAUUAUGAAUUCACUAAAUUGGGAUCAACACCAGUUCCUUCUAUUACGGAUGGCUGUAGUACCAUCUCCAACAGAUGUGGGUUGCUUGAACAGGAAAGAGAUGGCAAAAUUGCUGCUGUAACAUCAACUGCUGAAGUCCUUUCACAACAGUUGGUCCUGGAUACGAGGGACAAUAAUGUGAUUCCUCUCUGUCAGAGAUUUAUAGCAGCUCUAAUUCCAGAAGAAGAUAGUGACAGUGGAAAUGAAGACCUCCCAUUUGAUGCAUAUGAAACUGGAUUUGAGAUGGACGGAGAAUUGGGAUCCAAUGGUUUGAGUCAUAUUGUUAACUUCCAAUCUACUGGGCAUGCUUCUUUCAAUGGUUAUAGGGUAACUGUGAAGCCAGAACAUGACAAUCCUGAAGUUGAUAUGUUGGGAAACCCAGGAAUUAACUCAAAUUUUAGUCAUUCCCUGAAUGACACUUUCCCAAACCAACCAAUGCCUGGCAUGGUUUGUUCAGAAUUCCAGUAUGAGAGUAUGAAGAUAUAUGACAAACUCUUUCUGGAGGCCCAAAGUAUCGGAAUUUUCUUAGAACAACUGCCUGACAUAGCACAGAUGGAGGAUGAUGAAAUUUGUGAGGACAUUAGUAAGCUAGAGGAGAAGCACAAUGAACAGGUUUCAAAUAAGAAAGGCUUGCUUGAUAAACUGUUGAAAGCUGCCUCAGAAACAAGAGCAAUUCAGGAGAAGGAAUUUGAACAACGUGCUCUUGACAAACUUGUCACGAUGGCUUAUGAAAAGUACAUGACUUGUUGGGGUCCUAAUGCUACUGGUGGGAAGAGUACCAGUAACAAAAUGAUCAAGCAGGCUGCCUUAGCAUUUGUUAAACGGACAUUAGAUCAAUAUCAUAAAUUUGAAGAUACAGGCAAGAGCUGCUUCGAUGAGCCCAUGCUUAGAGACAUGUUUCUUUCUGGGCAUUUCCGGCUAAAUGGUGCACGAUCAGUAGAUACUCCUACAGAUGGUGAAUCUAAAAAGCCAUGUGCCAACAGCUCCACCCGUUCUCUGGAAGCCAGAACUUCAGGUCAAAAUGGGGAUAGCUAUCCUGUUAAUUCUUCUGAUCUGCUUCCACCCACAAAUCGGUUAUCCGAUCAAAGUACUGUUAAAGAUGAUUCAUGGUCUAACAGGGUGAAAAAGAGAGAGUUAUUGCUUGAGGAUGUAGUUGGUGGUACUAUUGGUACUUCUAGUGCCCAGUCAGCCAUUGGAAGUUCUUUGUCAAGCAGUGCAAAAGGAAAGAGGAGUGAGAGAGACAGAGAAGGAAAGGGAAAUUGUAGAGAGGUUUUUUCUAGAAAUGGAACUAAUAAGAUUGGUCGACCAGUAUCCAAUGUUAAGGGGGAAAGGAAAUCCAAAACAAAGCCUAAGCAGAAAACAACUCAACUAUCUGUUUCUGUAAAUGGCCUUCUUGGCAAGAUGUCAGAGCAACCCAAACCAUCAACUUCUGUAUCAAAGUCAAGUGAGAUAACAGCCAAUAAUAAUGCCAAAGAAAAAGAUGAGUUUAGCCUGGAUGUAUUGGAUGACUUGCAGCUAUCAGGGCAAGAUCUGGGUUCUUGGUUGAACAUUGAUGAUGAUGGAUUACAAGACCAUGACUUCAUGGGCCUUGAAAUUCCGAUGGAUGAUCUUUCCGACUUGAAUAUGAUGGUUUGAGUUGCUUUCUUUGUAAAGUCUUGUUCAUUAUACUGUUGACAAACAAAAACAUAAUCACUGUCAUCAAGAAAUGACUGGUACAUGGAUAGUUUGACUGUCCAGUCCACAGUUAGGUUACAUAGAUUCUUUGUAGACUCCUCCACAAGUUGAUUUUCAAGUGAACCAUUUGGACGUCUUGAAUUUUUCUCUUUAGUUGGUGACUUUGAGUGUAAAGAUCUUUUGUCCCUAAAAGUUAGUAUGUCUUAGCAUCUAUAUCUUAGCAAACACUGUAUUCUGGCUGUAGCUUUUACGAAUCAGAGAGCAAUGCUCUUCUUGUACAUACAUUUAUAUUCCCAAUAAAAUUAGUUUUUUUUGUUCAGUGUAAUUAUAGCUUGUAAGCAUAAUCAUAUAGGUUUCUUUCCUGGUUUUCUGGUUUAUGGAUCUUUAUUUUCACUUUUUGCCAACUGUAACCGCAGUUGAAAGCUGUUAUAUCCAAUUUUGUAAUUUCUCCUUAGGUUUGUUCGAGAAGUUUCUCUUCCGAGGCUAAGAGGUAAGAAUGUUCAAUGAAGAUGUCCAUACAAUAAUUGGCAGUGUUUUUUCAAUCACAAAAAUAUGAUUUUGGUGGUGACUGGGGACUAUUAAUUCUGUAUCUUUCCUGUUUUAUUACUUGAAGUUGCAGGUUCUCAGUUCAAUUAUCUCAGGAGCGACAGCAAGAUCUUUAUCAACUGCAUUUAUUAACAUCAUAGUAAAAAGUUGUUGCAUCAAAUUGGAGCUUCUUGUUGCUGUGUUUCUAGGGUAAAACUGCUCUCUUGGAUUUUCUAAUCAAGAUAUGUAUACAUGGGGUGUGCUAUAAUGCCAUCCGCCAUGUUCUGAUAAACCUGCAUCACCACUAGGGUAAAUCCAGAAUACCUUGUUCUAGUCUUGGCUAUAAAUGUUUCGGUGCAUUUUACAUUGUUGUUUACAUAUACUUUUCUUUCGUUUUCAUUUUUUCUUUGAAGGGGAAGGCAUCACUUCUAGGACUGUGUUGAAGGCUUGGCAGUGAAGGCUCAUGUUCUGUAAUGUUCAUCCACUGCAGUUUAAAACUUACAUUUGAUUUAGAGUUCAUGAUUCUCAACUUGCUUUAUAUAAAAAGUUUGACAUAUUCGAUGAGUGUGUCAAGAAUCUUGUCUUGCUCAUGUUGAGAAUUAUUUACAUUAUAAUUUCUUCUCUAGAAGAGUAGAUUUAAUGCUUGAGUAUACAUUUGAUUUAGAGUUCAUGUCAAAAUCUUGGGUCUGUCUCAUAGCUGUGUGUUUAAUUAUUUACGCUGUCUCAAGCUGCUGGCUGGUGUUUUUUCAUGAUCCUAUACAUUGUACAUGUAUUAGCAUCCUCAAUUAUCAUGUUUAAGCAUCGCAGAAUUGGUUCGAGUCAAAACUCACGAAUCUUUCUCAUAAGAAUUGCGAAGGCUUUGUUUAGUUACUCCAGCGAUUGUGAGGUACACUUCUGGGAUUUACUUGUUGAGAACUUUGAUUUCACCUCCUGCUUUGUAACACUUAUCGGUGUAGGGAUGACCAUCAUCUCUAAUGAAUUUUGUUCAGUUUCUUGAAAUUAUUCCUGUAUGUUAUGGUUCGAGAAUCAAGUUGCAAAACAAAAGAAGGAAAUUGUUGAGGGUGGUCUGUUUUCUCUGUUCAUUGUUGCAUCUAAAUUCAGAGACUACCUUCCUCUUUGCAUUCUUAUAAGCUCUUUGUUAGUAUAAAAUUUUCACUUCUUGGUUACAUUAAUUAUAGAUGCAUGUAUACUUUUUUUUCCCUAGAGAAGGCUAUGGAAGCAACACCAUUGAAAAAUGCAUCAAGAAAUCUGUUUCUCAAGGGCAAGCUUGUAAAGUACGUGGCUACUCAAAGGUUUUAGCUUCCUAGUCAGCUUUUUGCAGGGAAAUUCUGCUGCGAGAAGAAAUUUUGUUAAGAGGGUUGAGAUGGUAAAAUAGAUUUGGUAUUUUGUAUAUUUAUUUAUGUUUAUUUCGUGUUUAAUAUAUGUAAAAUAUAAAAAUUG